rnacentral:misc_RNA from 2 species
AAUUCUCAAGCCGGGAUGCUUUUUUCUGGCUUGGUGUUGGGCUUUGCAGUUCCUUUUGAUUGGGAUGGCUUGCCUUAAAAGCAUCAGCUGGCUUUCAUGUGGCAUUGGUUCUACUCAGCGUGAUAAUGAUCUGACCGCCGAGGACAUCUUUCGGGAUGGCCAAUUCUCAUUUGAGCUGCUUUCUAAUCUGGUUGAAUGGAUUCUGAAUCUGUUCCACUUUCUCAG